UACAGAGGGGGCAAGCGUUGUUCGGAAUUACUGGGCGUAAAGGGCGCGUAGGCGGCCAACUAAGUCAGACGUGAAAUCCCUCGGCUCAACCGGGGAACUGCGUCUGAUACUGGGUGGCUUGAGAUUGGGAGAGGGAUGCGGAAUUCCAGGUGUAGCGGUGAAAUGCGCAGAUAUCAGGAGGAACACCGGUGGCGAAGGCGGAUCUCUGGGCCUUACCUGACGCUCAGGCGCGAAAGCUAGGGGAGCGAACAGG
rnacentral:rRNA from 1 species